AUACGUAGGGUGCGAGCGUUAAUCGGAAUUACUGGGCGUAAAGCGUGCGCAGGCGGUUUUGUAAGCCAGAUGUGAAAUCCCCGGGCUUAACCUGGGAAUGGCAUUUGGGACUGCAAGGCUUGAGUGCGGCAGAGGGGGAUGGAAUUCCGCGUGUAGCAGUGAAAUGCGUAGAUAUGCGGAGGAACACCGAUGGCGAAGGCAAUCCCCUGGGCCUGCACUGACGCUCAUGCACGAAAGCGUGGGGAGCAAACAG
rnacentral:rRNA from 1 species